CCUACGGGUGGCAGCAGUGAGGAAUAUUGGUCAAUGGGCGAGAGCCUGAACCAGCCAAGCCGCGUGAGGGAAGAAUGUCCUGCGUAUCGUAAACCUCUUUUGUCAGGGAACAAAGGCCGGGACUAGUCCUCUGUUGAGGGUCCCUGAAGAAAAGGCAUCGGUAAAUCCGUUGCAACAAGCCGCGGUAAUAAGGAGGAUACGAGCGUUUACUGGAUUAAUUGGGUUUAAAGGGGGCGCAGGCGGUCUGUUAAUUCAGCGGUAAAAGCACGGGGCUAAACCCCGGCGAGCCGUUGAAACUGGGGGGCUAGAGUUGGCGAGAAGUACGCGGAAUGCGCGGUGUAGCGGUGAAAUGCAUAGAUAUCGCGCAGAACCCCGAUUGCGAAGGCAGCGUACCGGCUCAACACUGACGCUGAGGCACGAAAGCGUGGGUAUCGAACAGGAUUAGAUACCCCAGUAGUC
rnacentral:rRNA from 1 species